rnacentral:rRNA from 1 species
ACGAACGCUGGCGGCGUGCUUAACACAUGCAAGUCGAGCGGUAAGGCCCUUUCGGGGGUACACGAGCGGCGAACGGGUGAGUAACACGUGGGUGACCUGCCCUCAGCUCUGGGAUAAGCCUGGGAAACCGGGUCUAAUACUGGAUAUGACUCCAUGACGCAUGUUGUGGGGUGGAAAGCCUUAUGCGGCUGAGGAUGGGCCCGCGGCCUAUCAGCUUGUUGGUGGGGUGAUGGCCUACCAAGGCGACGACGGGUAGCCGGCCUGAGAGGGCGACCGGCCACACUGGGACUGAGACACGGCCCAGACUCCUACGGGAGGCAGCAGUGGGGAAUCUUGCGCAAUGGGCGAAAGCCUGACGCAGCGACGCCGCGUGA